rnacentral:rRNA from 2 species
UUGACCCCUUCAGUGUCGAAGCUAACGCGUUAAGUAUCCCGCCUGGGGAGUACGGUCGCAAGAUUAAAACUCAAAGAAAUUGACGGGGGCCCGCACAAGCGGUGGAGCAUGUGGUUUAAUUCGAUGCAACGCGAAGAACCUUACCUAGGCUUGACAUGUACUGGAAGAUUGGCAGAAAUGUCGUCGCCCGCAAGGGUCGGUACACAGGUGCUGCACGGCUGUCGUCAGCUCGUGUCGUAAGAUGUUGGGUUAAGUCCCGCAACGAGCGCAACCCCUGCAUUUAGUUGCCAGCAUUCAGUUGGGCACUCUAGAUGGACUGCCGGUGUUAAACCGGAGGAAGGUGGGGAUGACGUCAAGUCCUCAUGGCCCUUAUGCCUAGGGCUACACACGUGCUACAAUGGUAGUCACAGAGCGAAGCUAAGCCGCGAGGUAGAGCAAAUCGCUUAAAAGCUAUCUAAGUUCAGAUUGAUCUCUGCAACUCGAGAUCAUGAAGUUGGAAUCGCUAGUGAUCGCGGAUCAGAAUGCCGCGGUGAAUACGUUCCCGGGCCUUGUACACACCGCCCGUCACACCAUGAAAGUCGGCUGUACCAGAAGUCGCUGCGCUAACCGUAAGGAGGCAGGCGCCCAAGGUAUGAUCGAUGAUUGGGGUGAAGUCGUAACAAGGUAGCCGUAGGGGAACCUGCGGCUGGAUCACCUCCUUUCUAAGGA